AACUUUCCGCAAUGGACAAAUGUCUGACGGAGCAACGCCGUGUGAGUGAUGAAGGUCUUCGGAACGUUAAACUCUGUUGCUAGGGAAGAAUAAGUAUAGUUCUAAUAGGGUGGUACUUUGACGGUACUUAACUAGAAAGCCACGGCUAACUACGUUCCAGCAUCCGCGUUAAUACGUAGGUGGCAAACGUUAUCCGGAAUUAUUGGGCGUAAAGCGCGCGCAGGCGGUUUCUUAAGGUUGAUGUGAAAGCCCACGGCUCAGCCGUGGAGGGUCAUUGGAAACUGGGAAGCUUGAGUACAGAAAAGGAGAGUGGAAUUCCAUGUGUAGCGGUGAAAUGCGAAGAGAUAUGGAGGAACACCAGUGGCGAAGGCGACUCUCUAGUCUACAACUGACGCUGAGACGCGAAAGCAUGGGGAGCGAACA
rnacentral:rRNA from 1 species